UACAGAGGUGGCAAGCGUUGUUCGGAAUUACUGGGCGUAAAGGGCGCGUAGGCGGUCUUGUCAGUCCCUUGUGAAAUCCCCCGGCUCAACUGGGGAACUGCACGGGAAACAGCAGGGCUUGAGUUCGGGAGAGGGAAGCGGAAUUCCGGGUGUAGCGGUGAAAUGCGUAGAUAUCCGGAGGAACACCAAUGGCGAAGGCAGCUCGCUGGGACGGUACUGACGCUGAGACGCGAAAGCGUGGGGAGCAAACAGG
rnacentral:rRNA from 1 species